UACGUAGGGUGCAAGCGUUGUCCGGAAUUAUUGGGCGUAAAGAGCUCGUAGGCGGUCUGUCGCGUCUGCUGUGAAAACUCGGGGCUUAACCCCGGGACUGCAGUGGGUACGGGGAGACUAGAGUGCGGUAGGGGAGACUGGAAUUCCUGGUGUAGCGGUGAAAUGCGCAGAUAUCAGGAGGAACACCGGUGGCGAAGGCGGGUCUCUGGGCCGUAACUGACGCUGAGGAGCGAAAGCGUGGGGAGCGAACAGG
rnacentral:rRNA from 1 species